UCCUACGGGGGGCAGCAGUGGGGAAUAUUGCACAAUGGGGGAAACCCUGAUGCAGCGACGCCGCGUGGGCGAGGAAGUACCUCGGUAUGUAAAGCCCUAUCAGCAGGGAAGAAACAGGACAGUACCUGACUAAGAAGCCCCGGCUAACUACGUGCCAGCAGCCGCGGUAAUACGUAGGGGGCAAGCGUUAUCCGGAUUUACUGGGUGUAAAGGGAGCGUAGGUGGCAGGGCAAGUCAGAUGUGAAAACCCGGGGCUCAACUCCGGGAGUGCAUUUGAAACUGUCCAGCUAGAGUGCAGGAGAGGU
rnacentral:rRNA from 1 species